UCCCAAGUGCUGGGAUUAAAGGUGUGCACCACCACGCCCGGCUUGUACUGUAUUUUUAAAAAAUAUUUCAUAAGAUAUCACAGGCACAUGUCUUUGUUCAUAGGUUUUAUGAAUGGCUUGUAUCCACAUUGUAUAUGGAGGAUAAGAAACCUAAAGAGUAUAGGCCAAAGGGAAUUUCAGUCUGUAAUGUAGAAUUGACAGAAGAUUGGCUUUCUGUCUGUGAAGGUAGAACUCAGUGGUCUCAGGUAGAUGGACCUUUUCAAGUUAGUUGUUUUUCAGCAGAGGUGGAAGGACUUUCAGGAGUUUCUAGUGGCGACCCCUACCUGGGCAGGAUCUUCAGUCAGAGAAAUUGGGGUCACUUGAGUAACUUUUUGAACUCGAGGUUUCUAGUCUAAUCAUUAGUGUAAUGGUUAGCAAUCCCUGGAAGUCACAUGGGACUGUUGACUCCAGAUUGAGUUUUGUGAUAUACCAAUGAUCACCCAAAUUUGAGAACAGCAGUACCCUAGAUUGCAUUCACAGACGUUUUCAGUGGCCAUAAAACCGAGUUACUAUUCAAGUCUGAGAUGGUGGCCAUUGUGUGUUGCAGUUAGGCAUAUGUUCUCGGUGCUCUACUGAAGUGGCAUCUUUUCAGGUACAGGAAUUCUGCGUCAGGAGAGCCAGGCGGUGGUGCACAGCAUGUCUCUAGCUUUAGCUGCCUUGGAAGCUGAGGGUUCAAGGCAGCAAAACAAAACACACUUUAACAUCCAGCACCUGUGAGUGAUAGUCUAUUUUUGAAAAGUAUCUGCUGUCCCUAACCAAAAGUUAAACAUUUUAAAGUGGUAGAAAUUCUGCUUUUUGGCUCACUGCAGCUACAGCUGUUACUUUCAGUUUUAUUUAAAAAGUAAUUUAUUGAGGUUCAUUUGUAGAAGGCUGUAUUUGAAGAAACUCUUGCUAGAAUAAUUUGUAAUCAUUUGCUUUUACUGUUUUUUUUUUUUAGCAAGAAUAGAAAAAGUUGCAGUGAAAGAAUAUAUAUGCACAUACAACAUGCACACACAUCAUGCAUGCACAUACAUCAUACACACACACACAGACACACACACAUACCCACACCUCUGUAUGUGAGUGCACAUUGUGAGUGACAGAAAUCAUUGCAACAUAAAUCUUAAAUAAUGAAGUGUUCAUUAGUGAGAUAAUUUCCCCUAUAAAUCUGUCCCCAUUUACUGCCAACAGCUCUUCUGAUUCUGUCUUUUGAAUCAGGCUGGCCUUUCAGUCUGACUCAUAGUGGACGGCAUAUGAUAAUAUAAUGCACACACAACGCAAACUAAUUGCAGUGUCCAGUUGCAAUCCUGAAAAAGAAGUGUGGUUUCUGAAAACAGUGACUGUGAAGGAGUAGGCACCCAGCAACUGACAAGGAGGAUCUGGCAGAGACAGACCAGUUCACAAUGAAGAAAAUGUAAUCAGGGUUGAUAGGCAUCUCAAAGGAGAGCCGUGGAGAGCAUGUUUAAGGAUUAAGAGCUUUUGAGAAAUUGAUGUCUUUGCCCGUGAUUGCAUCUAGGAGGAUGCGGUUCUUCUCGGAAGCAAAGUUUAGCUUAGACUCAGUCUUUCAGCAGCUCUGUUUGCCAAGAGACAGUAAAAAUCAGGGAUGAAUAUAUUGAUGGAUGGAUGGAAGUAGUGAACAAAUUGCUCUUGCUGCUGAGAAUUAAUAGAAAACCCUAGCUUUCCUGGUUAACUUUCAAAUGAAGCUGUUUAAAAAGAGACCUCGGGAUAGUUUCUACAAAGGUUAUAGUUCUUAGGUUCCCACAUAGUUCAGAAGUGUGAGUAUUUUAGCUGCACCAUUCGUGACUCUUACAGGUCUUUGCAGCCUAGAAUACUAGGGAUGGCACCAAGUGUCCAGUGAUUUAAACUGAGAUUGACAGGCAAAAUGAAGUUGUAACCUUUGUGAGAGUCUUCUUUAGGAUAUGUGAGUCAGACCAUCGCCAGGUGGUGGUAUCAACAGAACCGUAGUGUGUGGCUAGCGGAUACGUGCCUCUCUAGGCAUGUAGGAAUACAGUCUCUCCCAGCUCAGAGAAAGCCUGAGAGUGAAUAACGUGUCUGUGUUUGGUCUUUGAUUGCUGCUGCCAGUCUUGCUGGCCUUUGAUGGCUGUAAUCCUUAUAUUUAACGUUGGCUUUUAAGGUUACUCAAACGGUGUGUUUGGACUAACUGGUACUUCUUUUUUUCUUGUAUAUUUUCUUUAUUUACAUUUCAAAUGGUUUCCCUUUUCCAAGCGAUUAGCUGAUAUUUCUAGAAGCAGGUAGAUAGUUAUUUAAAGGGUCUAAAAUAUGAGUGUCCGUAAAGAGCUCAGUGAUUCCUGCAAACAUAGGGAUUGGAAAGUGUGUGCUGCACUCUGUGCUGAAGCGUUAGGCGAUCAUGGACAGGAAAAUGGUGUGCCUUCUAGCUGGCUCUUAAUUGACUGUAGACUAAAUAGAAGUCUUAAGUCUCUUAAUAGGAUUUGAAAUUUAGAAAUAUUUUUUUUAUAUUAACUAAGUGAGAAGAUGGAUGACCAAUAUUAUGAAUAAAAUAAAGUUUGUUGUUCAGAGUCUACACAGAUUGUAAAAAGAGAAUUUCAGGAAUUAAUUUAUGCCAAUGAACUUGGCAAAUGAAGUUGUCAAGUUGCCUAAGAGGGACAAAUUACUGAAAUGGACAAGGAGAAAUUAAAAGAUCUUUUUUCUUUCUUUUUUUGUUUUUUUUUUGGUUUUUUUUUUUUUUUUUUUUUUUUUUUGUUUUGUUUUUUUUUUGAGACAGGGUUUCUCUGUAUAGCCUUGGCUGUCCUGGAACUCACUUUGUAGACCAGGCUGGCCUUGAACUCAGAAAUCUGCCUGCCUCCCAGGCGCCACCACGCCCGGCCAAAAUUAAAAGAUCUUAACAGUGCCACGUGUUAAAGUAAUUGCAUGUAAAAUUAUAAAUUUCUCCAAACAGAAGAGUUUAAAUCCAGUUAUACACUGGUAUAGUUGUGUAUAUUAUUACACACACACACACACACACACACACACACACAUAUGUAUAAUAUAUACAUGUAUAUACGUAUAGUCACAUGUUUAAGAAAAGAUUCUAUAAAUCAAUUCUAUACAAACUCAAAAAAAAAAAAAUAGAGGCAGAGAAAACUUUUCUGAUCUCCAUUUUGUGAGUCCAGUAUAAGCCUGUCCAGAUAAAAAAAGAAAAAGAAUUCAUAUUAUCAGCUGUCCUGUUUAAACUCCUUAUGAAUAUUAGCAAAUCAGAUCUAGUGAAAAGGGUAAUAUGUCAGAAAUAAGUUGGAGUUAUUCUAGAAAUGAAAGUUUUUUGUCAAAAAUAAAUUAGUAAUGAAAUGGGAGAGUUCAUAUGAUCAUCUCAGUAGAUGCACAAUAUUUGACACAAUUAAUGUAAGUAAAAAACUGGGAAUAUAAUGAAGUUUGCUAACUCUGAUGAAGAGCAUCUAUAGGAAAACCAGCUGUCAUACGCUGAUGAUCACUCCUGACAUUCAGGCUCACACUGUAGUUUGUAAGUCCACAGAGGAACGAGAAGAUAGGAGAAGAGAGGGAUAAUCACAUCCCAGACAGAGUGCACAUUGAAAACCACAAGGGAUGGACCUUCAAACUCCCACUAGCACUAGCUAGUUAAAAUGCCAAACUUGGGGGUGCAGAGUGGCUGUGCAGGAGACUGUUUUUUAUAUGCUGGCAAUCGCUGAAAAAUGAGACUUAAAAGUAAGCAUCAUUUUAUAAUGCCUGAAGUAGACUAAACUGAGAGUCAGCCACAAACUGCUGUUAGGUUCAGUUUAGUUCCAGUUAAAAUUCUAGCAGGCUUUUUGUUGUUCCUGAUGUUUGCUUGAUUUUUGAGACUGGGUUUUUCUACUAGGCCUGUCUGUCCUGUCUGCCCUAGAACUUACUAUUUAGGCCAGGCUGGCUUUGAACUCACCGAGAUCCACCUGCCUCUGCCUAUGAAGUACUGUGACGGAAGGUGUGUGUUAUGCUACCUGGUGUUUGUUUUUUGUUUUUGUUUUUUUUUUUAAAGGGAACUAAAUAAGCUGAUUCUACAACACAUUUGGGAACGCAAAGGACAAAUAGUUACUAAAGUUAUACUGGAAAAAUAUGAAGCUGGAGGACUUACAGUAUCAUAUUGAUAGAAAUCAAGACAGUAUAGAAUUGAUAUACCACUGAUAUGUGCAAGAAUGAAAGCGAAUAGAGAACUGGGGAUAGUGUUUUCAACAACUGGAAAUACAUAUAGAAAAAAAGAACCUCUUUUUUAGGUUCAGGAAUGUUAUUCCAAUACUGAUCACUAAUGUGAACGCCAAAGCUGAUUCUGAAGCUGCAGUAAAGCAGUCAAAUUGGCAAAGGUUUCUGGGAAAUGGCACAGAUAGCAUUGGGUAGAAGAGAAAAAUAGUGACUAUUUCUAUUUUACCAAAACUGUAGACUUUUGUUCUUGUGAAAUGCCAUGAAGGAAAUGGAAUGUUUUCUUUUUUCUUUUUUUUUUUUUUAAGAUUUAUUUAUUCAUUUAAUGCAUGAGUACACUGUUGCUGUCUUCAGACACACCAGAAGUUGUCUGAAUUGGAUCCCAUUUCAGAUGAGCCACCAUGUGGUUGCUGGGAAAUUGAAUUCAGGACCUCUGUAAGAGCAGUCAGUGCUCUUAACCGCCGAGCCAUCUCUUCAGCCCUGGCAUGUUUUCUUAAACCAGACAUGGGGAUCGGUUUACAAAAUCUUAUUGGAUAAUGGGAUUGUGUCCAGAGUCUGUUAAAAAAAGCCUCUCAGGACUCAAUGAUAAGACAGCCUAGCUUUAAAAAUGGGUGAAAACUGAACUCCACAAGACAAGAUAAAUGAAAAACAUAUGCACACAUGGUCGUCAUUAUUAGCAAUUAGGGGAAAACAUAUUAGUUAUUAGCAUUAGCUAUUUUUUUGUCACAGUAAAAUUUGCUGAUGUGAUUAUUUUUUAACUAUACUCAGUUGACAGACAAUUAGUGGGACCUUCUCAAUUUAGAUCCACUUUGAAGCAAUAAAAUAAUAUUGCUAUUACUUUAAGUUUCAUUUUCUAAUUAUUCAUUACUAUCCUAUAGAAAUAAGGGAUUUUGUGUUAGCUACUUAGCACCCAUAAAAUCUUAAAAUUUCACUUGUUGGGUACCAUCAUCUACCUGUUAGAAAAUAGCCAGAAUUUAAAAAGUCAGAAUACCAAGUAUUGUUGGGGAAGGAACAAGUGAGCUCUGAUGCAUUGUAGCUAACGGCGGAGAUGACACAGUCUUGGAGGAGAACAUUGUGGCAACUCUCAGAAAGUCAGGCAUUCUUUCACUUUGCGGCCCACCUUUUGAGCUAAUUAUUUUUGUUAUUUUGAGACAGAGUCUUGCUGUGUAGUAGUCCUUAGCUAGCCUACUGCUUGCUACACAGCCCAGGACAGCCUUGAAUUUAUGACAGUUCUUCUGCUUCAGCCUCUUAAAUCUUGAAUUUACAGGUAUGCGGUACCAUGUCUCUUUUUAGCUGUUUAUAUUUGUAACAGAUAACAUCUUCAAAUUUGAAACAGACUACAUGUCUGCUGAGAGAUGAACCGAAAAGCAAAAUUUAAUGUAUUAUAUAGUAGACUACUAUUCCACACUUAGAAUAAGCUACUGGGGGCUGGAGAGAUGGCUUAGUGGUUAUGAGCACUGACUGCUCUUCCAAAGGUCCUGAGUUCAAAUCCCAGCAACCACAUGGUGGCUCACAACCAUCCGUAAUGAGAUCUGACGCCCUCUUCUGGUGCAUCUGAAGACAACUACAGUGUACUUAGAUAUAAUAAUAAAUAAAUCUUAGAAAAAAAAAGAGUAAGCUACUGAUGCUUGCCACCACACAGAUGCAUCUCCUGUUUCUUUUUUGGGUUUUUCAACACAGGGUUUCUCUGGGUAGUUCUACCUCUCCUGGAAGUCACUCUGUAGACUAGGCUGGUCUCAAACUUGGAAAUCUGCCUGCCUUUGCCUCCUGAGAGCAGGGAUUAAAAAUGUACACACUUUCUGGCCUCAGCCACAUCUCAGAAAGUAAGAGAAGCCAGAAAUAAAAGAGCAUAUAUAAUGUGCAGUUCCACUCUAGGAAAUCCUAGAACUGGAGAAAAUAAUCUCUAGUGAUAGAGAGCAGACUGUCGGUGGUCACAUGGGGGAACACUGGUUGCUGAGGCCCAAAGGUCUUGUGUAGUAGUAGUGGUUAUGUGUAUACAUGAACUUGCCGAGAUCAGUGUACAUUUAAUGGGUACAAUUUGUUCUGUGAAUUACACCUCAGCAAAAUAUAUUUGAAAAGAAAAAAGCUUGGCAACAUAAAAUUCUGGCAAGGCUGUGCAGUAGCAAGCUCUGACACAGUGCUGGCUGCCCUUUAAACAGCACCCUUAGACCAAAGCCUUGGUAGCUUCUUCUUAUUCGUUGGAAAUGCACUUUAUGGUCCAGAAUUUCCAUUCCUAGAUAAUUCCCCAAGGGAAAUGAAACACAUGCUGCCAGGAGUGUCCAUAAAGGCUAGUUCACAGCAAACUGGAAGCAAGUCACCUAUCUAUCGGUAGGAAAAUAGAUAAAGCAUUGUGAUGUGGUUAGACAGCAAUAGAGGGGAUGGAUAUGAAACUAUCCUGAAUAGAAGCAGACAGACAGACAGAUAGACAGACAAAAGGGCCCAAUAUUAUGAUCGCAGAACUAUCACAUGGUGAUAGAACACAAAAUUUGCUUUUGUGCUAGGAUAUCACUAGCAGGCACACAGGAAACUUCUGGAGUUGUAGGAAUGCUUUGCAUCUUCUUGUGUGUGUAUGAGUUGCUUAGGUGUGUGGACUUGGAAAAUCAAAUAAAUUAUCAGCUCAAGGGCUGCAUCUAACUGUAUAUACUCAAAGCAGUAAGAUACUAAGGCAGGAGAUGGCACAGUGGGUAAAGCACUUGCCAUGCAAGUAUGAGGACAGGGUUUCGGAGAGUACCCCCAUUCCCAACCCCCGCCCCCAGCACACACUGUAAAUGAUGGAUGGGCAUGGUGGCCUGAACCUGCAUUCACAGUUCUUAGGAGGCAACAGACACUUGUGACUAUGGGAGCAGGCUGGCUAGCUAAGUCAGCCCAAUCAUGGAGCUCUGGAAUCAAAGGAGAGACCCUGCCUCAUUAUCUAGUGUCUUCCUUGAUCCUUGUCCAUUUGAGGUCAGCCUAUUCAUUGCAUGCACACAUCCUCGCAUGUACUCACAUAGACUCUGACUCAUCUGUUGGAGUUUUGGUUCUCAGGAAACUGAAGUUAAGCCUUGUAUUUUGUAAUUUGUAUUUUCUACACACCAGCCAGCUUCUCAUAUCCCAAUAAUUUGGCAAAAUUUAUCAAGUUUGGCUUUCUCUAGAAACAAACCGUUGUUAAAAAUUUUUUUUAUUUCCUUAAUUGCAGUCAUAUUAAAAAAAAUAGUGAAACUGUUCAACAAUUGAAAAUUACAUAUGCUGUAGGUUGUUUAAUUGUGAAAAGCUAACAUAUAUACAUUUAUUUAUUUAUUAAAUUAAUGAUAUUGGAAUUUCACUGUUAGGCAACUUAAUUUUGUAUGGCAUUUGAUUGUUUUGGAGGUGGAAGUAAGUAAAUAAACUCUGAGUAAAAUUUGUAAAAAAUGGAAAUUAAUGUGCUAUAGCUAUUCUGUUUAAGUGCUGUGUACACUGUUUGAGUCCUUGUAGGAAAAAGUAUUUUCUGAUUUUUUUUUUUUCUUUUGGCUAUGUCCAAUACUUGUAUGCUUUUAAGUGGUUCAGGUUUAAGAUGUAAUUUCUUAGUUUUAAACAUAGUUAAUAUUCAUGCAUGCAUAUAAUGUGUUUUGAUCAAGUGCAUCAUUCAUUCCCUCUUCUCCACUGCAUCUCAUCCCUCCAACCCUCAACUCCGUUUCUGUAGCAGGGGAGGGGCCCGUGAACUCCUAUCCCUGUCAGGAAUUUUGGGCAAUUGAUGGCUGUUGAGAAAGGAAGAGUCAGUUUUCUUCAGGGUUGCAGCCCCUCAGAGGCUGUUUAUGCUCCAGUAGCUUGUCCUACCCAUAUAUAUGCAGGCAGCACUUAAGGACACAGUGGUGUUCAGCUUUAAGAAGAGACCACACUUUAACCUGGUGCACAGCUUGGUAUAUUAAGCAUAUUCAUAAUUUCGUAUAAGUACCAGUGUCUCUUUCCAGCAAUUUUUUCAUCACAUUGAACUGUCACUCAGUCUAUUGCCAGUAUGUUGUUGUCCCCAGCUCUUGGUGGCCUUUGUCCUAGGUCCAUCCACAGAGCCAUAUAGCAUUAGUCUGUUCCUCCUGGCUUACUUCACUUAGCACAGUGCUUUUGUGCUUCACUCAUGCUGCAUAGAUUAGAACUCCAUCUCCUUUUAUGGUAAGCAGCAUCCUGUCGUAGAAACAUACCAUAGUUUUUAUGCACUCGCUUGUUUAUGGCUCCUUAGGCUGUGAGUAGUACCUUUGUGGACAUAAGUUAUCUGUGUGAGUUCCUGUUUUCUUCAAAGAGUAAAACUAGUGACACUUGCAAAUAGAGAGGACAACAGGACAGAGGCAAAUGUGAGAUAAUGUCCAGAACAAACAAAAAUUAUGGUAAAGAGUAAUACAUACAUUAAUUUCCAAAUGAGAUUGUAUACAGUGAUGAUGCAGGAGCAGGCGAGAGUGUUUGAACAAGUCUUUGCUGCGUUCCGUUCCAGCUCAGACCUGUUUUUGGCUCAUGCGAGCACCAUGCAAAGAAUCUCUGCUAUAGUCUGCAUUCACUAUCUGACUUUUAAAAACCAAGGUCUUUUAGCAGUAAGCAGGUGAGAUUUUUGUCUAAGUCAGCCUGUGUCGUCUGCUCGGUCUCACAAGUCGAGUGUUUCGAGGCCUGAGGAACUAACAUUAGUGGUAGUACUUUUCAAAGUUUUUCCUUUUUAGUGAGUUAAAUCAGAGGUGUGUCCAUUUUAAGUAUUUAAUAAAUUCUGGCCUUGCUCUCUUCGUUUACUAGCCUUGUUUCUGCUGUCUCCUUUCACAGCUAGUUUAUGGCCUGGAAUCUCCUUGGGGAUUUAUGGGUGGGUGGCUAUCUUACUUUUCUGUAAAGGGAUUAGGCACAGUCAUAAAAACAAAUUUAUUUCUACCUGAUUAGUUAUGCAUAGUUUUGGAAGUUUGCCUGACAAGCUACUUAAACUCUUAGCAGGAUAUGAUAUUAGUUAGAUUGUUUGUUUAUAGGUAAAGAAACAGACUGUGAGAGCACAUUCUUAUGCUGCUAAGAACUUUUAAAAACUCAUGUGAAUUGUGUGUCUCUGAGUGUGUGUCACAUGUGUGCAGGUGUUGAGGGCAGUUGGUCCUCUGGAGCUGGACUUACAGACAGUUGUAAGCUAUCCACUAUCCGUGCAUAAACUCAAGUCUUCCGGGAGAGUUAACCAGUAAGCUGUCUUUCUAGCUCCUGGUGAAUUAAGGAAAAGGUCGAAAUGGGCUGUUAAAUGGACAUAUAGCUUAUGACUUUUUUUGUUUCUAUGAAUGUAUAUAUACUUUUUUUUUUUUGGUUUUUCGAGACAGGUAGUCCUGGCUGUCCUGGAACUCACUUUGUAGACCAGGCUGGCCUCGAACUCAGAAAUCUGCCUGCCUCUGCCUCCCCAGUGCUGGGAUAAAAGGCGUGUGCCACCACGCCCAGCAUGAGUGUAUAUAUAUAUAUAUUUAUGGAAAAGUCGUAGUUGGCCUGCUUUCCUGCUUUCUAGCAUGCAGUAUGUAAUUGCAUCUCUUUACUGCAGCACGGUAGGCAUUUAUGCUGUUGGCGUUUGUUAGCUAUUGUGUUUGUUUAGUCUCUGAGGACAGGUUAGUUCUUUCUAAAGUCUUUUUCCUAGAAAUUCGCCACGAGACAGAGGGCAUUCUAGAUCUUUUUAUAAUGCUGAAGAAAAAGCACUAGCAUUCACUGAAUAUCUCAACAUUCAGCAUUUAACCUUCACACCUCUCAGGUAGGUAGGUAGGUAGGUAGGUAGGUAUGUAUGUAUGUAUGUAUGUAUGUAUGUAUGCGUUUUCAGGAUGUGGAAACUGGGGCUCAGCAGGCUUAGCUAACUUGACCAAGGUCAUGAAGAUUUAUAGCUGUUUUAUUUUCCUUAUUUCAUUAGAGUGGGAAAUUGGUAAUGAUGUUUCGAACCUACCCUAAACUAACCUUCGGUGGCAAGAUUAAAGGUCCUUAGAACUCGGCACUCUGACACAUCUGAGGUCCGUCUGUCCACGUCCAUUGUGCUGUCCCUCUCUCAUGUCCUGUCUUGUACAUAAACCCCACACUUCAGUCAAGCCUGCUGUGGAUUCCACUGCUUUUUCUGACCUCACUGACUCCAGGGAGAAACUAUUUUCCCAGUCCCAAGGUCACGCUUUUGGUGGCUUCUCUGCCUCUUGCCUUUUCUCUUUCUCUCCCUCAGACUCCUGCUGGCAUUCACUUUGCUUUAGUGUUGUCUGGACAGGCUUUGACCCCUUACCUAGACCCUUAGCUGUUCCAGAGUUUCAUAGAAGUGGUAGAUACUGCUGCAUACUCUGUGGACUGUGUGAAUAUUUGCUCUUCCUGGGGUAAACACAGACUUAGAGCCUCUGGUCAUCUCCAGUCAGGUUUUACUACCAAUGUUUUUAAAAGUAUUUUCACUUUUAGGCCUGUUUGGAAUUUAGGAUAGUCAAUAUGUAAUUAUAGAUACACAUUGGCUGAUGUUUUAGGAAACAUAGCUAGUAGUCACAUGGCACUUUAUGACUUUUCUUUUGUUUUCCUUUUUUUUUUUUAAGUAUUGAUUACUUUAGAGAUAAUGUGAGUGUACAGAUAUCAUCUGCCAAUCGAUCCGUCAUUAACUGGUAGAUGUAAGCACAUCUGUCUUUCAAAGCUUAUUGUACUUUGAUUUUCCUUCUUUAGUUUCCUCUUAAAUCCGUUAGACACAAACCUGAUUAUCAUCAGUGUUUUGCUUUUUUUCUGGUAUUAUUUUCUAGUUCAAUUUUCUGUGCUACUACAGCCCAGGAUCUGGAAUCAACCAUUGUUUCAGGACAUCCUGGUGUCCUGACGAAGCAUUUCAAGACCUCACUUCCCAAUUAGAGAUGUUCAUUCCUAAUGAGUUGACUUUGAGGCUUUUCACACAAACACAUGCUCAGAAAACUGCAGAACUGUACCCAGGAUCCACAAGCUUGCCCUAGGACUCCGUAUAAUUGUCUAAACUCAGACAGUGGUAAUGAUACCGCUUUAGUAUUGUUAUGGAAUUAUAGAGCCAUUUACUGUAUUCUUUUUCUUUGUAAGAUAAUGAUAUUCUAUGAGUAAUACCACUUCCUUUCAAAUUCAGGGUUUGGAGGGUGGUAUUGUUUUCCACAAAGGGUCUCUCUGUGUAGCCCCAACUAUCUCGAAACUCACUAUGUAGACCAGGUUGGUCUCCCCACUCACAGAGAUCCUCCUGCCUCUGUGCCUUGUGUGCUGAGUUUAAAGGCAUGCAGCAGCUCACCUGGCAGAGUUAGUUUUUGUUUAAUGACUUUGGUAUUGCAUUCUGUUUCUCUUGAUUCCCCAGGGAUUUAAUUUUAUCCCAAACAGCAUACACAAUAAUCUAGAAAAAAAUUAGUCUUUCCUAAUGAAUGUAAUUACCGAGAAGGUGCAAAGUUCUCACUCUUUCUCUACCACCCCUCCUGUUUUCUUAGUUGUACUGAAUCUGCUCUGUCAAACUGUCAGGAACCGCACAGAGCUCCACUUUCUUCCCUUAGCAUUCUUUUAGUGGUGGUUCUAAAAUACCUAAGUAUCUUGCCUUUGUCUGCUUCCCACGCCCUCGCUGCUGUAGUGUUUUGUUUUGACACAGGGUCCUUCUUUUUAGCCAACACUGGCCUGUGGUUUACUCUGUAGCCCAGGCUGGCCUGGGAGUCAUGCUCCCCCUAGGAUGUGAGUCAGCACACCUGCUUGCUUUCGUCAUUUUGAUGGUCUAGAGUUUGUUUUCUGAUAGUUCCUGUCUUAGAAUACAAAAUUCCUGUAGUCUGUGGAUAUUACAGUGAAACCCUGAGCUGCUCAGCUGUCCAGGGCUCCUUUUCAUCCUGAAAAGACCUUAAAGCUGAUGCUGCAGGUUGGGUUUUUGGCGUAAAGGUUUGUCGUGGAAAAGUCAGAUGGCCAUGUAAUGGUGCUUUGCUCUUUGUGCCUCAGUUCCUAAAGGUGGAGUACUUUUCGGUGCUGUGGUAAAACACCAUGACCAGAGUUGACUUAUGGGCUGCUGCAGUGGGACUGGGGAGGCAGAGGCAGGAAGAUCUCUGUGAUUUCAAGGCCAGCCUGUUCGACAAAGUGAGUCACUUUGUACACUGUACUGGACAGCCAGGACUAUACAGAGAAACUCUGUCUGUCUGUGUGAAAGAAAACAAAAAAAGAAAACAAAGUUGACAUAGGGAAGGAAGAGUUUAUUUCUGUUUAUGUGUUUACAGCCCAUGCAGGGAGUCCAUGAUGGUGGCAGACAUGUGGAGCAGACAGCCAGAGCAGAAGCUGAGAGGCUCUGUCUCUCACUUAAGCCACCAAGCAGCAAGCAGACUAGAAGAGGGGCAGGGGCACAGACUCUCACAACGUGUAUUCUUCCAGCCAGAGUCCACCUCACAGCCUGCCUUCACAGCCUUCACAGCCUUCACAGCCUCCCCAAAUGGCACCACCCAGAGUGGACCAAGGCUCACACACAAGAGCCAUGGCGACAUUGCUCAUUCCAGUCACCACAGAGGCUGCAGGGUCACCAUUGUAGUGAUGGCUGUGCUGAGGCUUUCUCUUUCUAUCUCAGAUGUUUGUAUUUCAGGAAAGCACAAUGAACUAACUCCUGUACAUACUCUCUGGGUCUUUAAGGGGCUGUAUUGUGUGCCCAUUGAAACUUCUGAAUUUUCAGGAUCAUCACAUUCUCUUGUACCUCCCCUAGCUCACUGAUUACCUUUGGUUUUGUUUCUUUUCUUUUCUUUCUUUUGAGUUUUUUACUUCUGAGUUGGUGUAGUUUGGGAGCAAACUUAUUUGACCAAAUGAUUGUUUUAACCCAUCUAGCUCAUAUCCCUUGUCUUAUAGAGCUAAUGGGAACAUACUUUGAGGACCAUAUCCUGACAGAAAGCAGCGAAGGAAGUGAUGUAGCCUGUAUAGCCCUAUGAGUAACUGGUUUAAAAUACUCUUUUGUUAAUCCUGUGGAGCAAGACUGCAGAGGAGUGGCAGAAUGGAGGAGAGACCAACCUGGAGAAGCCAAUGGGAGUCUCAUUUAGGAGGAGGCCACGGAGGGAGAAAAGGACUGUGUUUUAGAGAUGUCAGACUUGGUAGCUGGGUAGAGAAGGGGCUCAGGAGCUGUUUGUGUUUUGGUAACCCAGGGCUUGAAUUGUGCUGUCGUUAUGUAGAUGAGGAGAUUAUUGGGGCUGGGAGAGGGAAGAUAAUGAGCCCUGUUUGGAGCAAGUAGUGCUAGGCAUCUAGGUACCCAUGCUUAGCAAGGGUUCAGUCAUGCAGAUUGAAGCUUGGGAGAAAGGGUUGGAGAGGGUUGGAGUCAUUCAUAGUCAUGAGCCUGGACGAUGACAUCAUCUAGGGAGAGCGCAAGAAAGGAGAAAGUGGGUCAAGGAGAGAAUUCUAACUUAGAUAAGAAGGGAAGCCAGUCUUGGGAAUAUUAAUAAGAACGAUUAGGUGUUCUGUUUUAGUCUUGUUAAACUUUUUCAUGCUAAAAAGCCCAUGCAGGUGUUACCUAUUUUACAGAUGAGUGAGUUGGAGUUCAAAGGUUAAACUGUCGGCUCCUUGUUGCACUUCUAGCAACAGCCAUUGAGGAAGCUGAGCCACUCUUUUCUCACCUCCUUCCUGGCCUCUUGCUAGGCAAGGAGUUACAGACAUAUUAUACAAAAUGGAGAUGUGCUACACCUAGGGUGAGAGAGAUGGGAGGCUUGGAAGGCUGUUAGCCAUGCGAGGGGCUGCAGAGAGAUUAAGAAGGAUGGGGAUUCUAACCCCCUUUACACUGAGUAAAGACCAAUUCCUGUGUGGGAAUUGGUUUGCUGUAGGAUGUUGAUAGUAUGGUUAUUUUAUUGUACCACUUUCCUAAGCUGUGCUUUUAUUGACUAAGUAAAUGACAGCUUAUAAUUCCCCCAAAGAAGAAGAUAACAAUUGUUAAACAACCAAAGUGAUGCUAAAUACAGACAAAGGCAGGCUCUGCUGCGUGAUGUAACAAUAUCCUAGUGUUUGGGAGGGUGAUGCAGCCUGGCCUCUCCUGACGAUGCUCAGACAGGAAAGGGAGGGGAAGAGCCUCUGCGAGCACUUGAGCACUUGACUGCAGAGGGAGCGCUGCUUGCUGAGUCAGAGGAUGAAGGCUGCGCUCUAGGCAGACAUGGCCCAGUUCAGGCUGCUGGACUGCAUGAUAAACCACAAUUGGAGUUUACUCUGCAAUCUCUACUGUGCAUGGAAUGGCCAGGUGUCAAAAAACAAAGAUGGAAAAGACCAAGGUGAACCUGUGUCACCGUCUGAAGAUGAGCCAUUCUCCUGGCCAGGUCCCAAAACAGUCAUGCUGAAGAGAACAUCUCAAGGGUUUGGUUUCACAUUACGACACUUCAUCGUUUAUCCCCCAGAGUCUGCAAUCCAGUUUUCAUAUAAGGAUGAAGAGAAUGGAAACAGAGGAGGAAAGCAAAGGAACCGAUUGGAGCCGAUGGAUACCAUAUUUGUUAAACAAGUGAAGGAAGGAGGGCCGGCCUUCGAGGCUGGCUUAUGCACAGGUGACAGAAUUAUAAAAGUCAAUGGAGAAAGUGUCAUAGGAAAGACCUAUUCCCAAGUAAUUGCUCUCAUUCAGAACAGUGACACCACCCUGGAGCUCAGUGUAAUGCCCAAGGAUGAAGACAUUCUCCAAGUGCUACAAUUUACAAAGGAUGUUACAGCACUGGCAUAUUCUCAAGAUGCAUACCUGAAAGGCAAUGAAGCUUACAGCGGCAAUGCCCGUAAUAUACCUGAACCUCCACCAGUUUGCUAUCCCUGGUUGCCAUCGACUCCUUCAGCUACUGCACAGCCGGUGGAAACAUGCCCUCCUGAUUCAUUACCGAACAAACAGCAAACCAGUGCACCAGUCCUCACACAACCUGGCAGGGCCUAUAGAAUGGAAAUACAAGUGCCUCCGUCACCAACAGAUGUUGCAAAGUCAAACACAGCAGUGUGUGUUUGCAAUGAGAGUGUGAGGACCGUCAUUGUGCCUUCUGAGAAGGUGGUAGACUUGCUAGCCAAUAGAAACAACCCUUCAGGUCCUUCACAUAGAACUGAAGAGGUAAGGUAUGGUGUAAAUGAGCAGGCCUCUACAAAAGCAGCAUCGAGAACAACGUCACCGGCAUCAGUUCCCACUGCCCAUCUGAUUCAUCAGACCACAGGCUCCAGAUCCUUAGAACCUUCUGGAAUUUUACUUAAAUCUGGAAAUUACAGUGGACAUUCAGAAGGAAUCUCAAGCAGUAGAUCACAAGCCGUGGAUUCCCCUCCUGUGUCUGUCAAUCACUACUCUGCAAACUCCCAUCAGCACAUAGACUGGAAAAAUUAUAAGACUUACAAAGAAUACAUUGAUAAUAGGAGAUUGCACAUAGGUUGUCGGACAAUCCAGGAAAGACUGGACAGCUUACGAGCUGCAUCUCAGAGCGCAGCAGACUAUAACCAGGUGGUACCCACCCGCACUACUCUGCAGGUACGACGUCGAAGCACCUCUCAUGACCGAGUGCCCCAGUCUGUUCAGAUCCGGCAGCGCAGUGUAUCUCAGGAAAGACUGGAAGAUUCUGUGCUGAUGAAGUAUUGCCCAAGGAGCGCGUCUCAAGGAGCGCUGACCUCACCGCCUGUUAGCUUCAAUAAUCAUAGAACUCGUUCGUGGGAUUACAUAGAGGGACAGACGGAAGCCACAGCCACUGUCAAUUCUGAAAGUCAGAUACCUGACUCAAAUGGGGAACGAAAACAGACUUACAAGUGGAGUGGCUUCACUGAGCAGGAUGAUAGACGCGGUAUUCACGAAAGACCCAGGCAGCAAGAAAUGCACAAGCCUUUCCGAGGCUCAAAUUUGACUGUGGCUCCCGUUGUUAAUUCUGAUAACAGGCGCCUGGUUGGGAGAGGGGUAGGACCUGUCUCACAGUUUAAAAAAAUCCCGCCGGACCUAAGACCACCACAUUCCAACAGAAAUUUUCCAACCACGACUGGGGUGUCACUUCAACGGGGUAUUGCACAAGACAGGUCCCCACUCGUGAAAGUCCGAAGUAAUUCUCUGAAAGUGCCACCUCCACCUGUGUCAAAACCGUCCUUCAGCCAGCACUCACUGGCUUCCAUGAAAGACCAAAGGCCUGUCAAUCAUCUGCAUCAACACAGUGUGCUGAGUCAGCAGACGCAGUUCAGAUCCGAAAGCACCUUCGAGCACCAGCUGGAGACUGAGGUAUCCUCGUGUCUACCAGGAACUUCUGCCAAGACCAGUCCACAGCUCAGUGAGAAUUUGGGAACAUCAGACUUAGAACUACCUGCCAUCCCAAGGAAUGGAGAUAUAAACUUACAGGAGGCUGAAAUUCAGCAGCCAGAUGUGCUAGAUAAUAAAGAAUCUGUCAUUCUAAGAGAGAAACCUCAGUCUGGCCGCCAGACGCCACAGCCUUUAAGACAUCAGUCUUACAUCCUGGCAGUGAAUGACCAGGAGACCGGGUCAGACACCACCUGCUGGCUGCCAAACGAUGCACGCAGAGAGGUCCAUAUAAAAAGAAUGGAGGAGAGGAAAGCUUCAAGCACCAGCCCUCCUGGUGAUUCCCUGGCAUCCAUCCCUUUUAUAGAUGAGCCAACCAGUCCUAGCAUCGACCACGAGAUUGCACAUAUUCCUGCAUCUGCUGUCAUCUCCGCCUCUACUGCCCACGUCCCCUCCAUUGCAACUGUUCCCCCCAGCCUCACGACCUCUGCUCCUUUGAUUCGACGUCAGCUCUCCCACGACCAAGAAUCUGUUGGACCUCCCAGCCUGGAUGGCCAGCACAGCUCAAAGACAGAAAGAUCCAAAUCCUACGAUGAAGGACUGGAUGAUUAUAGAGAAGAUGCAAAACUAUCCUUUAAGCACGUGUCUAGCCUGAAGGGAAUCAAGAUUACAGACAGCCAGAAGUCAUCAGAAGACUCUGGAUCGAGAAAGGGUUCUUCCUCCGAGGUCUUCAGUGAUGCAGCCCGAGAAGGCUGGCUCCAGUUCCGACCACUGGUCACCGAUAAGGGCAAGAGAGUUGGUGGCAGUAUUCGGCCAUGGAAACAGAUGUAUGUUGUCCUUCGGGGCCACUCACUUUACUUGUACAAAGACAGAAGAGAGCAGACAACGCCAUCAGAAGAAGAGCAGCCCAUCAGUGUCAACGCUUGCCUGAUAGACAUCUCGUACAGUGAGACCAAGAGGCGGAAUGUAUUCCGACUUACCACGUCUGACUGUGAAUGCUUGUUCCAGGCUGAAGACAGAGAUGAUAUGUUAUCAUGGAUCAAGACUAUUCAGGAAAGUAGCAACCUAAAUGAAGAGGACACUGGAGUUACCAACAGAGAUCUAAUUAGUCGAAGAAUCAAAGAGUAUAACAGUCUGCUGAGCAGCAAAACAGAACAGUUGCCAAAAACACCUCGCCAGAGUCUUAGCAUCAGGCAAACUUUGCUUGGUGCUAAAUCAGAGCCAAAGACUCAAAGCCCACAUUCUCCAAAGGAGGAGUCCGAGAGGAAGCUUCUCAGUAAAGAUGAUACCAGUCCCCCUAAAGACAAAGGUACUUGGAGAAGAGGCAUUCCAAGCAUCGUGAGGAAGACGUUUGAGAAAAAGCCGGCCGCCACAGGGACCUUUGGAGUUAGGCUGGAUGACUGCCCACCCGCCCACACCAACAGGUACAUUCCAUUAAUCGUUGACAUAUGUUGCAAAUUAGUUGAAGAAAGGGGUCUUGAAUAUACAGGUAUUUACCGAGUUCCCGGCAACAACGCAGCCAUUUCAAGCAUGCAGGAAGAACUCAACAAGGGGAUGGCAGACAUUGACAUACAAGAUGAUAAAUGGCGAGAUUUGAAUGUGAUAAGCAGUUUACUAAAAUCCUUCUUCAGAAAGCUCCCUGAGCCUCUCUUUACGAAUGACAAAUAUGCUGACUUCAUUGAGGCCAAUCGCAAAGAGGACCCACUGGAUCGGCUACGAACAUUAAAGAGACUAAUUCAUGACCUGCCUGAGCAUCAUUUUGAGACGCUCAAGUUUCUCUCGGCUCAUCUGAAGACAGUGGCAGAGAACUCAGAAAAGAAUAAGAUGGAACCCAGAAACCUAGCGAUCGUUUUUGGUCCAACUCUAGUGAGAACAUCAGAAGACAACAUGACCCACAUGGUCACGCACAUGCCUGACCAGUAUAAGAUCGUAGAGACUCUCAUCCAGCAUCAUGACUGGUUUUUCACAGAAGAAGGUGCCGAAGAGCCUCUUACAGCAGUGCAGGAGGAGAACACAGUAGACUCCCAGCCAGUACCAAACAUAGAUCAUUUGCUCACCAACAUUGGAAGGACAGGCGUGCUCCCUGGAGAUGUAUCAGGUAACUCUUGUCUAGGCAGUACACUGCUGACUGACCUCUAGGCUACUUGACCUUCCUAUAAGUGAAACAGUGAGCAGCCAUAAGUAACACUCCAUAUGGGUUCUUUUCUCUUCUUCUUCCUUUUCCUUUCUACUAAUAAAAACUGCAACUCGCCUUUUCUGAUGAUCUCACUUCCGGCGACUGUAACCCACUGACAGUGCAUGGAGUAGUGAUGUGUGUCAGAGUGGGAACCUGAGAGUGAUGAGCAUGCAAACCACUGUUUUGUUUUAUUUUAUUUUUUUUAAUUCACAGUUUCCAUGUAAUAGUCAUCACAAGGUAAAACAGAUAUAUGCUGCUGAAUGUGUGGUUGCUGUGACGGCAGAAAGAAUGGUUAGACUGGGUGCUUAGUUCUGUUUGGGACCAGUUCUGUGCUGGCAGCAAGCUGAGCUGCCCCUCUCAGUCCUAUCAUGUCACCAGAGACGUCACAGUCAAAGUCAUUCCACUUGACCUUGAUUUUCUUCUCUCUCCUACUGCCACCCUAACGCUUGGUUAAGUAUUAGUAUUUAAUAGGCUCUGGAUGAAAACGUCUCUUGCCAAACUGUUGCACUAAUCUGGCAUGCUAUUUCACACCAUGUUCUCCCUUUGUCUCUAGUUCUUGUUUUAGCUCGAAAGGGUUUUUUCAGCUCUUACUGACACAGGCAAAUCUAUACUGAUGUUGCACAGGCGAUGUGGGAGGAGUCUAUCACACGGUAAUGUCACUAGUGGAUUCUGUGAUGUCCCUGAUGGACAGCUGGAGCUGUAGGAAGAAGGAGGACUGCUGUCCACACUGUAGCUGCCUUGUCUGCAGAAACCCCCGGUUCUUGUAAAUGCCAACCCAGUUGAUCUGUGGUGUACACGUCUCUCUUAAGAAUAUUGUAAACAGAUCACUACUACUCUUUUAAAAGUUUUUCUGCUGUCUCUUGUUAUUUCUGAAGCAGACCCUGAGGAGAAAUAGCAUGAUUCAGCUACUAGUGACUCCGCAAAAUCUAAGGGUCUCACUGUGGAGUUGGGGCAGCCUUGGAGCUUGUCCUCUUCCUGGCAGCCUACCCGGCACUGUGACUAUAGGUGUAUACCAUCACACCUGGCAGAACUCUUCUACUUGUACAUAUAAAGGAAGUGGGAAUAUUUGAGCAUUGUGGAUGUGGAGAAAACCAACAGGAAAAUUAGUAAGAAUUGGGAAGCCUCAGUACCUUUACACAUGAGAGAGAUGUGUCUAUCACGAUGCGGCAAGAAAUGGGAACUGUAAUUAAGGUGACCCUGAUAUAAGUUCAAAGGGGACUUUUAAAACACAUACGGUGUUGUGGUUGCAUCUAGGACCGUUAGUAGACUUUAGUUCUUUACUACCUGGGGACAAGCCAGCCCUGGACAGUGUUCAUGGCCUCAUCUUUCUGCAUGUUUCCUAGGGCUCCUGGGGAUCCGGGAAGGAUCAGUAUAGCAGGGAACUGCUUGUAUCCUCCAUCUUCGCAGCUGCCAGUCGCAAGAGGAAAAAGCCGAAAGAGAAAGCCCAGCCCAGCAGCUCUGAGGAUGAGCUGGACAGUGUGUUCUUUAAGAAGGAGAAUACGGAACAGAGUCACAGUGAGAUUAAAGAAGAGUCCAAAAGAGAAAGCGAGACAUCAGGUAGCAAGCAGAGGGUCGUCGUUGCCAAAGAAAGUAACACUAAGAAAGACUCGGGUACAACGAAGGAGGAGAAGAAGAUACCGUGGGAAGAACCAUCCCCACCACACAGCUCCAAACGCAACAGGUCACCAACCCUCAGCUGUCGCCUGGCCAUGCUGAAAGAGGGCCCCAGAUCACUUCUGACACAGAAGCCCCACUGUGAAGAGACAGGGUCUGACUCAGGCACUCUGCUUAGCACGUCUUCCCAGGCUUCGCUCUUGAGGUCCUCCACUAAAAAAUCCACCAGUCCGGAAACCAAGCACAGUGAGUUUUUGUCCAUUGCUGGUACCACCACCUCGGAUUAUUCUACCACAUCAUCCACUACCUACUUGACCAGCCUGGACUCCAGCCGCCUGAGCCCUGAGGUGCAGUCAGUGGCCGAGAGCAAGGGGGAUGAGGCUGAUGACGAGAGGAGCGAGCUGGUGAGUGAAGGACGGCCAGUGGAGACCGACAGUGAGAGUGAGUUCCCCGUGUUUCCCACCACCCUGACUUCAGACCGGCUGUUCCGAGGAAAAUUCCAGGAGGUUGCCAGGGUGAGCCGCAGGAACUCCGAAGGCAGUGAGGCCAGCUGCACCGAGGGAAGCCUCACACCGAGUUUAGACAGCCGCAGGCAGCAGUUCAGCUCCCAUAGACUGAUCGAAUGCGACACACUGUCCAGGAAGAAGUCUGCUCGCUUCAAGUCAGACAGUGGGAGCCCCGGAGACACCAGGACUGAGAAAGAAACUCCUGCCCUGGCCAAGAUGUUUGACGUCAUGAAGAAAGGCAAGUCGACAGGGAGCCUCCUCACACCCAGCAGAAGUGAAUCCGAAAAGCAGGAGGCCACUUGGAAAACAAAAAUAGCAGAUCGUUUAAAACUGAGACCCAGGGCACCCGCAGACGACAUGUUUGGAGUUGGGAAUCAAAAACCUACUGCUGAGACAGCGAAAAGGAAAAACAUCAAACGCAGACACACGCUUGGAGGCCACAGAGAUGCUACUGAGAUCAGCGUCCUGAGUUUCUGGAAAGCUCAUGAGCAGAGUGCGGACAAAGAGUCUGAACUUUCGGCUGUGAAUCGGUUAAAACCCAAAUGCUCAGCCCAGGACCUUUCCAUCUCAGACUGGCUCGCCAGGGAGCGCGUCCGCACCAGUGCCUCCGACCUUAGCAGAGGCGAAGGCCUCGAGCCCCAGGCUGAGAGCCCCAGCGUGCUGGGAACACCCAUCAGCACCCACUCACCACCGUCUCAGCAGCCCGAAGCAAGGGUUGCUGCUACCAGCACCUUGGCUUCAACCAGCCAGUCCCCUCUUUUCACACCACCACAGUCACCUGACCAAAUAAACAGAGAAAGCUUCCAGAACAUGAGCCAAAAUGCUAGUUCUACAGCUAACAUCCACCCCCACAAACAGUCUGAAAGUCCAGACACUAAAGCAGAGACUCCUCCCUGACUUUAAGCUGGGUCUAGCCACUCUAGCAAGGAAAAACUACUGUUACACAGUCUAGUAACUGUAAAUAUUUUUCUUGUACCAGAAUUGUUAUUAUGCAGCCUUGCUUUGGGCUGGAUUCACCAUUUUGCACUGUGAAAUAGCUUUACAGUGCAUUACUACAGCCAGAAGAACACACGUAUAUAUUUAAGAGUAUAUUGGAUAGUUGUAUACAAAUAAGCAAGGUGUUUGUUGCAACUCACUACAUAAUAUAUUCCCCAAAUUACUGAAGAAAGUCGCUGCCUCCUGCAGCCAAAUUGUUCUUUUGGUUCCUCACUAACAAAAGUGCCUCAUGAUAAAAGUACAUUUGAUUUUUAGGGUGCCAUAUUGUUAAAAUUAGAAAAUUGAAUAAAUGAAUGCAUUUUAUCAGUAACAAGUUUCCUUCCAUUUACCAGUUAACACAGGUGGAUACAGGACUUCAAGUCUUUAGUCAUUCCAGACGGAUCUGAGUUUUAUAUUCAAACUUUUAAUACAGUUUUUGAGUUUUGUGUGACUUGAAUUUUUAAUCUUUCUGUAAAAUACGUAAUAACUUAAAUGAACAUAUUCUAUGUGUAUCUUUUCUUCAGAUACCAGAUUUGAUAUAAAUGUUGUAACAUAGGUAUGUAGAUAGUGUAUCCUGGAUGGAACUGGCUUCUUACUGAGAAAAAUAUAAUUCUGCAUGAGGACUUUAUCCAAACCUGUGUCAUGCCUGUGUGCAUACCCAACUAAACACUGGAAAUAAAAUUGUCUUGGUGAAGUUUG